GAACAGCGUCUGUUACAUCACAAAACCAGGGGGCGUUCCCCAGCAAAUACCGAGCCCUUCUGGCAACAAAUGGCCACAAACCGAUCAAAGGUGAAAGUGACGGUGAACCAGACAGAGCAGUCAGUGGCUGCAUAAAGCAGGACGGCGUGGAUAUUACACACGGGGACGGAGUACUCCAGGAAAUAAAACUGUUCCCCAUAAACAAUGGGAAUGUGUCUCAGGAUCAGGUCGAGGAUAAUGACCAGGAGAUCCGCCGCUGCCAUGGCCCCCAGAUCUCCCGUUAUGCGGUGGAGUAGAGAAGGACAAUGCUCUGUAUUCCUCCAGAGAGCUGAGACUGCUCUAACCUGGGUGGGAACCUUACAACAGGCUGGGAAAGUGCUGCUGCUGCACAGGGAGAUUACAUCUGGAGUAGUGUGUACAGAUCUAGCCUCUUCAAUGAAGAAACGGUGUUGUUAUAUUGGAAGCAGCUCAGAGAUGGUUCCCUCAACUGAUUCCUGCAAUGAAGGUGCUGGCGUAUAACGAAAGGAUGAUCAGGUUUAUUCAGUAGCCAUUGGAGUUUACAAAAAAUAAAGAAGAUCUUAUUUGAACACAGAUGACAGAAGGAGUCAACGAGUGAAGUGAAUUACACAGAUAGUGGAGGAAUCCGUUCCGUUCUCCAGCCUGUUACACAGGAACAACAGGAUGAUAUUCAGGCCUUCGACCCUGUUACACCAAAACAGGACGAAGCUAUUCAGCCCCUGGAGCCUGAUAUACAUUUACAGAAGGAGGCCAAUCAGCCCCUCUAGCCUAUAACAGUAGGCCAUGCUGCACCAGUAUCCUGUUAAACAGCAACAGGAGCAGUCCAUUCAGCCUCCUUCAGUCUGUAACAUAGGAACUGGAAGAGGUCACACAGUGACUGGAGAUUGUUACACUGGGAUAACAGGAGGCCAUUCAGACCCACCGAGCCUAUUGCAAGGGAAUUGGAUAAUGAUAGAAACUAUCUGAGACUUCUUUCAUGAGAAAGGAAGAGGUAAUUUAGACACGCGUCUGUUAUAUGGGAACAGGAGAAGACCAAUCACUCCCUCGGUCCCAUCUCCGGGAUACAUGAGGAGACCAUUCAGUAUUUCCACCUGUUAUGAGAAGACCCAUCAGCCCCUCAAAAUGUUACACAGCAACGGGAAGAUUCCAUAAUCUCCCAAUCCUCUAAAGCAUCAACAGGAGGAGGUCAUUCUGGCCUUGGAGACGAUAACAUGGGAACACCAGAAAGACGUCAGCUCAUCGAUUUUGAUGAUGAGUCCAUUCAGUGACACAUGGCUCUUACGCAGCAAUUGGAGCAUAUCUCUUAAAGUCUUGUGCCCAUUAAACAGGGAUUCAAAGAAAACGUAAAGCUUUUCGAAAGGGAAGAACUUAUAAUAAUGGUAUACAUUAGGGACUAAAGUGUAACAAUAAAUUAUGGUAAUUUAAGGCAAAUUCUUAGAGUCCAUUGUUCAGGACAUUUGCAACGUUAAACCACAAUCCAUCAGAGUCAACAUGGUUUUACGAAGGCUAAACCGUGUCUGAAUUGUUUGCUUGAGCAAUUUGAAGAUGUCACAAACAAUCGUGGGAAUCCUGGAGAUGGAACAUAUCUGGUCUUCCUGAAGGCAUCGGAUAUGUCGCUUCUCCAAAGAGUAAGUGGUAAGAUCAGACAACAUGGGUUUAGGAGUAAUUUAUUAGCUUGGGUUGAGGAUUGGAUAACAAAUAAA